rnacentral:rRNA from 1 species
GGGGAAUAUUGCACAAUGGGCGCAAGCCUGAUGCAGCCAUGCCGCGUGUGUGAAGAAGGCCUUCGGGUUGUAAAGCACUUUCAGCGGGGAGGAAGGCGGUGAGGUUAAUAACCUUGUCGAUUGACGUUACCCGCAGAAGAAGCACCGGCUAACUCCGUGCCAGCAGCCGCGGUAAUACGGAGGGUGCAAGCGUUAAUCGGAAUUACUGGGCGUAAAGCGCACGCAGGCGGUCUGUCAAGUCGGAUGUGAAAUCCCCGGGCUCAACCUGGGAACUGCAUUCGAAACUGGCAGGCUAGAGUCGUGUAGAGGGGGGUAGAAUUCCAGGUGUAGCGGUGAAAUGCGUAGAGAUCUGGAGGAAUACCGGUGGAGAAGGCGGCCCCCCGGACAAAGACUGACGCUCAGGUGCGAAAGCGUGGGGAGCAAAC